AAAUUGAAGAGUUUGAUCAUGGCUCAGAUUGAACGCUGGCGGCAGGCCUAACACAUGCAAGUCGAACGGUAACAGAAAGCAGCUUGCUGCUUUGCUGACGAGUGGCGGACGGGUGAGUAAUGUCUGGGAAACUGCCUGAUGGAGGGGGAUAACUACUGGAAACGGUAGCUAAUACCGCAUAACGUCGCAAGACCAAAGAGGGGGACCUUCGGGCCUCUUGCCAUCGGAUGUGCCCAGAUGGGAUUAGCUAGUAGGUGGGGUAACGGCUCACCUAGGCGACGAUCCCUAGCUGGUCUGAGAGGAUGACCAGCCACACUGGAACUGAGACACGGUCCAGACUCCUACGGGAGGCAGCAGUGGGGAAUAUUGCACAAUGGGCGCAAGCCUGAUGCAGCCAUGCCGCGUGUAUGAAGAAGGCCUUCGGGUUGUAAAGUACUUUCAGCGGGGAGGAAGGGAGUAAAGUUAAUACCUUUGCUCAUUGACGUUACCCGCAGAAGAAGCACCGGCUAACUCCGUGCCAGCAGCCGCGGUAAUACGGAGGGUGCAAGCGUUAAUCGGAAUUACUGGGCGUAAAGCGCACGCAGGCGGUUUGUUAAGUCAGAUGUGAAAUCCCCGGGCUCAACCUGGGAACUGCAUCUGAUACUGGCAAGCUUGAGUCUCGUAGAGGGGGGUAGAAUUCCAGGUGUAGCGGUGAAAUG
rnacentral:rRNA from 1 species